rnacentral:rRNA from 1 species
UACGUAGGGUGCAAGCGUUAAUCGGAAUUACUGGGCGUAAAGCGUGGGCAGGCGGUUUUGUAAGUCUGACGUGAAAUCCCCGGGCUCAACCUGGGAAUUGCGUUGGAGACUGCAAGGCUAGAAUCUGGCAGAGGGGGGUAGAAUUCCACGUGUAGCAGUGAAAUGCGUAGAGAUGUGGAGGAACACCGAUGGCGAAGGCAGCCCCCUGGGUCAAGAUUGACGCUCAUGCACGAAAGCGUGGGGAGCAAACAGG